CCUACGGGAGGCAGCAGUGAGGAAUAUUGGUCAAUGGGCGAGAGCCUGAACCAGCCAAGUCGCGUGAAGGAUGACGGCCCUACGGGUUGUAAACUUCUUUUGUCAGGGAGCAAUUGGGUCCACGCGUGGGCUUAGCGAGAGUACCUGAAGAAAAAGCAUCGGCUGACUCCGUUCCAGCAGCCGCGGUAAUACGGGGGAUGCGAGCGUUAACCGGAUUUAUUGGGUUUAAAGGGUGCUGAGGCGGAAUAUCAAGUCAGCGGUAAAAAUGCGGGUCUAAACCCCGUCGUGCCGUUGAAACUGGUGUUCGUGAGUGGGCGAGAAGUAUGCGGAAUGCGUGGUGUAGCGGUGAAAUGCAUAGAUAUCACGCAGAACUCCGAUUGCGAAGGCAGCAUACCGGCGCCCAACUGACGCUGAAGCACGAAAGCGUGGGUAUCGAACAGGAUUAGAUACCCCUGUAGUC
rnacentral:rRNA from 1 species